CUGCUCGCUUUGGCAGCACAUAUACUAAAGUUGGAACAAUACAGAGAAGAUUAGCAUGGCUCCUGCAGAAGGAUGACACACAAAUUUAUGAAGCGUUCUAUAUUUUU
rnacentral:snRNA from 1 species